UACGUAGGGUGCAAGCGUUGUCCGGAAUUAUUGGGCGUAAAGAGCUCGUAGGCGGUCUGUCGCGUCGGCUGUGAAAUCCCGAGGCUCAACCUCGGGUCUGCAGUCGAUACGGGCAAACUAGAGUAUUGCAGGGGAGACUGGAAUUCCUGGUGUAGCGGUGAAAUGCGCAGAUAUCAGGAGGAACACCGGUGGCGAAGGCGGAUCUCUGGGCCGAUACUGACGCUGAGGAGCGAAAGCGUGGGGAGCGAACAGG
rnacentral:rRNA from 1 species